GAUUUAGACCAUUUAUUUUUAUUUGGUUGUACAAAGUGUUAAAAGAAACACAUCUCAAAUAAUCAAGAGAGUGGUGACUAAUUAGGGGAAUUAUUUAUGUUAACACAAUAGCAGCAUAGAUACUAUAGAUGAGGGGAAACCUAUAACUACUUCACAGAUAUGAGAUUACAAACUCACAAAUAGAAUAAUAAAUAACUUUUUUCUUGUUCAAAAAUAUCCUAAUUUCUUUCUCUUAGGAGGUAAUGUGUAAACUUGAUACACAUAUUAUCUAUUGAAUUACAGACUAUUGAAAUCCAACAUUUCUACCCUUGAUAGUGAGAAAAAAUGAAUUCCAUAUCUGCUAGUUCAUUCUGGAAUAUGUCCCACUAUAGAAAAUGGUAUCCAUGUACUUUCUUCCCAAGUAAGAGAAAUUUAAGAAAUCUUAAAGACAAUGAUCCUAAAUUUUACAAUCUUUCUGACCUUUCUACUUCCAGACUAAUCUUUUUUAAAAAUACAACAUUGAUUUUCCAGAAAAGCAUUCUGUGGGUAGUUAGCACUAAAAUAUCUAUUAGUGGAAAAGCCUUAUCUUAUAUAUUUCAAGUUUUUUUGAUACUGAAUUUUGAGACUCUCUGGCUUUGUUUUUCACAUUGUUGAGUAUUCGAGAUAAGAUUAUUCACCUUUUGUCUCCCAUUCUUUCAUAUUUCUUUCCUCUCUUCCUAAUGCCUUCUUGAUACAAUAAAGUUUAUCAAUAUCAGUAACUACAUGCAAAAAAAAGGGAAAAUAAAGAAUCUGGGCAACUCAAGUGAGAUGUAUGUGAAAUCAAUGAGUAGACUUGUCAAUAUAAAUUUGCAUUAUAAAUGAAUUUUAAAACUUUAACCUAUUCUUAUACUGCUUGUUUUAUAUACAUUUAUCACCUUCUAGAGUAUCACAGAGAAAUAUAGGUCAGUGUAAUUUAGGUGUAGAAGCACCAAAUGGUAAUAUUAAAAUUUGUAAUUCUUCGCCACUUUCUACAGUAUUCUUAAAAUUUUAUAAGAACAACCACACUCUUAAGAUUGCAUCCUAAUUUUUGGUUUUGUAUAUUGGAAGGGAAUAUAUAAGACCAAGUACCAGGAUCUGGAAUUGUAUGAAGAAAGGAAUAGCUAAAAAUGACUUCAAUUCCCGAAGAAAAAGGAAAUGAAAGAAACAGAGAUCAAGUAAUGUGGGUGCUUUACUAUCUCUUCCUUUGGAAGAAGAUGCAAAAUACUCCCCAACUAAUCUUCAUUUUGUUCCAGAAAAUAGAGCUAUGAGUCUAGUAGAUUUCUUCAGCUGAAAAUUUACUAAAACACUCGGCUGCCUUUUCUGUUUUAGACCCAAGUAUAUAAUAAAGUAAAAUGUAGUUAGGACAAUUUAUCAAGUUUACUAAAAGCUAACAAUGAUUCUAGUUCCAUUUUACUUUUCAUGGUAAUUGAGAAAAUUCAGAAUCAUUUCACUUAUUGUAACGUAAAAAAAUAAAGUUGUCUUUAAUAGAGAUAUAAAGGACUAUAGAGUAUGUAGGACUAUACUGCAUUUGCAGAGAGUGUAUACAGUAUUUAGUCUGUUAGUCCUGUGACUGACAAAAACAAAACUAAUUACUUAAAAUUUUACUACAUACUUGUGUUUCAAUUUCCACAUGAUUACAGAACAGAGUUUAUAAGAGACUCUCAAAUUAAUUCUUCCCAUUAAAUAACAUCAAACCCCCACAAAAAUCUAUCUUAAUAUAUGUUUCUUGUGUUAUAUACUUCCUGUUGUGGUCUGUAUGUGGUUUGAAAAAGAAUUUCCAGACUCGGAGCAGGGUGAAGAGAAAGAUGAGUUUAUCGAGACAAGAAAUGCUUCUAGUGAGGUCAGGGAAAGGGUCAAGCUAUAUACCUUUCCUUAUAUGGUCAGGAGCUACAUAGUCCAGGUUGCUCGGGAAGAGCUCAAGAACUUUAUAACAAUUGCAAUGGGGCACAAAGAGCAAAAAAGUUCUGGUAAUUUUUAUCCUGGAAACAUUGUAUCCCAAGACUCUUUGAGUUUAUCAUGUUGGAGAAAUCUUGGAGUCCCACAAUUUCUCCCUUCCUUAUAUCAAGGUUUUAAGUAUUGUAAGUAACACUAUAAAAAUAGUUUUUGAGGAACAAGAAAACAUAGACCCAGAUGGAAUUACAUAGUGACUUUUUUACACAGGAUCUAAGAUCUUAACAAAAAUUUAAACGCUAAGUAUAAAAUUUAAUGUUUGUAUCUCCUAACAAAUAACAAAUAUUUCUAGUUUAUCCAAGUGAUUCUUUAUUUAUAAUAGAAAAAAUGCUACCUCAAGGCCUAGCAUGACAAACUGAAUUCCAGGGAAAUUCCAAAAUUUAAGCUAUCAAAUUGUAUAGUUAAUUUGAGACUGGAAAGUAUAAGCCAUCACCUCUCAAUAUAUGAAGACUAAAAAUUUAGGCAUUCAAACACUUAAGAAGGAAGUGACCUCCUUCUUUUAUUAUAAACAUUUAUUUACAUCCAAAGGAAUUCCAUAAUCAUACCUGCCCUUCUCCUGCCUCCAAACAGUAGUUGAAAAAUAAAAGGAAACUGCUGGAAAUGCAGCUGUAGUGAAAGCUGUGUUCAUUAGUCAGGUGGACCCAAGAGCCAAGGCUUUCAA
rnacentral:lncRNA from 1 species